rnacentral:misc_RNA from 1 species
CCGAGUUUACAACUCCCAAACCCCCUGUGAACAUACCACUUGUUGCCUCGGCGGAUCAGCCCGCUCCCGGUAAAACGGGACGGCCCGCCAGAGGACCCCUAAACUCUGUUUCUAUAUGUAACUUCUGAGUAAAACCAUAAUAAAUCA